GGUGCAAAGGGUCCAGUAUUCGAUUCCUUGCUGCCUUGAUUUUGUUUAUUUUUUUCUCACCAAUUGGGCCUCUGGGCCGAUUUUGAGCACGCAUGGACUUCCCAUAUGCACUUUUAAGCCGGUUCUGAGCGCCUUGGAGCGUAAUCAGUGGAAUCAGAAUAACUACAUCGAUCAAAAUUAGUAGGUGCUUUUGUUUUGAAACAUGGUCAUAAAAUUUAUGUGUUGCUCAAAAAUUCGCGUCAAUUUUGGUUAAUUUAGUUAUAACCGAAACCGAACCGAAACUAAAUGAUUAUAACCGAAACCGAGCCGU
rnacentral:lncRNA from 1 species